UGGAUAGCUCAGUUGGUUACAGCAUGGUGCUGACAAGAGUGUGGUGCUGAGAAAGCCAAGGUUACAGGUUCGAUCCCGGUAUGGACAG